rnacentral:rRNA from 1 species
UACGAAGGGGGCGAGCGUUGUUCGGAUUUACUGGGCGUAAAGGGCGCGCAGGCGGCGCAUUUUGUCAGGCGUGAAAGCCCCGGGCUUAACCUGGGAACUGCGUUUGAUACGGAUGGGCUAGAGUUCGGUAGGGGAGACUGGAAUUCCUGGUGUAGCGGUGAAAUGCGCAGAUAUCAGGAGGAACACCAGUGGCGAAAGCGGCCACCUGGACUGCACCUGACGCUGACACGCGAAAGCUAGGGGAGCGAACGGG